rnacentral:rRNA from 1 species
CAUCGAUGGGUGACCCCGGUGCAAUCAUAUCAGCUCUAAUGCACCGGAUCCCGUCAGAC